AUGCAACAUAAUCUCCCAAUGCAAUUCCCUCAUCCUCUACCUUUGAGCUCUGGAAGUACGUCUGGAGGAAGUGGGCAAGUGGGUUCUGGAAAGAACAAAAAGAAGAACAGGACUAGUGCUAAAAAGCAAGCUAUGACUGCUGCUGGAGCUGUUGACAGUGCUACUGUUCAUACAGCCUCAGACUCUGAAGAAUAUAUGAUAGACCCUAAGUAUAUUGGUACUAUCUGCUACAACUGUGGCCUUCCUGGUCACUUUGUGGGCAUGUGCUCUGUUCCCAAAAUCUGCUUCAUCUGUAAAACCCCAGGCCACCAUAUGGACAUCUGCCCAAAGUGGUAUGAACCUUAUCCUGCAGCCCAAUAUUGGGGAAGUGCUAAUAGUGGCCUUGGUUUCUUUCAUAUUGAAGCUGGUGACAAGUGUGACAGCAGCUGGCUGAAUUUUGGCAAUGUUGGGCUGGUUGUUGUGGAAGAAGGCAAUAUCACUGCUGAAGAACUAGAAAGCUGCUUUAUUGGGAUGUGGAAAACUAACUGGCCUUGGUAG
rnacentral:rRNA from 1 species